rnacentral:rRNA from 1 species
AUUGAACGCUGGCGGCAGGCCUAACACAUGCAAGUCGAACGAGUGGCGGACGGGUGAGUAAUGUCUGGGAAACUGCCUGAUGGAGGGGGAUAACUACUGGAAAAGGUAGCUAAUACUGCAUACCAUCAGAUGUGCCCAGAUGGGAUUAGCUUGUUGGUGGGGUAACGGCUCACCAAGGCGACGAUGCCUAGCUGGACUGAGAGGGUGACCAGCCACCCUGGAACUGAGACACGGUCCAGACUCCUACGGGAGGCAGCAGUGGGGAAUAUUGCACAAUGGGCGCAAGCCUGAUGCAGCCAUGCCGCGUGUAUGAAGAAGGCCUUCGGAUUGUAAAGUACUUUCAGCGGGGAAGCGUUACCUACAGAGGAAGCACCGGCUAACUCCGUGCCAGCAGCCGCGGUAAUAC